rnacentral:lncRNA from 1 species
AUAAUGACAGUAAUUCGCAUCACUAACCUUCCCUGAAAGCUUACUACAUGUCAGGAAGUGCUAUUCUAAAAGGGCUUCACAUGUAUUCAUUCAUUUCAUCCUCCUGACAAUCCUGUGAUACAGGUGUUUUUGUUAUGAGUCCUAUUUCAACAAAGCACAAGUGAAUACAAGAUAAGAUCUCACUAUAUUGCCCUGGCUGGUCUCAAACUCCCGUGUUCAAGUCAUCUGCCUGCCUCGACCUCCUAAAGGGCAAGCGGGAUUACAGCCUUCUCCACAGCCCAGCCACAGUGAGGGAGUCAUCAGCACUGGAACCCGGGGUCCACGGCCUUGGAGGAUCCGGACCCUCCGCAUUUGAGGAACUUGGCCUUCAGUCAGGGAGCCAAGAAGUCCCUGCCAAUCAAGGAGGGGGUGUGGGCUGGUGGGGGGGGGGCAGCCUUGGGGCACGGGAGCUGAUAGACCAGACUCAAGAGUUCUACUCCUGACUUCUAGAUUGUUCCACCUCCAUAUGGAAUAUGUUCCUUCCAUCUAACACUGUGUGAUUUGGGGACCAUCCAACUCAAAUGAAAGAAGCCAAGCCAUGCAGCGAGCCACCCCCUCCCCAAUGUGGGGUACCCCCUGCCCCCGCCCAGCUCCCCUGCCCUCCCAGCUGAGGGGGGAUCGCCGCCUGGUGAUCUCAGCCUCCCCUCCAAGUGGGCUGUGAAGUGUCUAAUCCAGGCUUUCAUCUGGCAUCCACAAUUAUAAUGUCAAGAUUGAAUAAUCUGCCUUUAUCUCCCGGGUGACAGCCAUGUAGAAACUUCAAAAGAAACAGUUUUGCUGGCAUCUAACGGCUUUUGUUAAUUACUAUAUCCCAAAGAAAAUGAAAUAAAGGAGGGAGAAAAAUGAUAUUUCUCUGUGACAACUUUGUAAAAAUAUCAGUGAUGAAGUGGUGCGGUUUAAGGGCUUUAAGUAUUCAUGCGGCUGAGAUGGGGCCUCUACCCUCCCGCUGGGAAGCUUAAGCGUGCCCGAGGGUGCAUGCACACACACACUCACACACUC